AGAGUGAACGCUGGCGGCAGGCCUAACACAUGCAAGUCGAACGGCAGCACAGCAGUAGCAAUACUGUGGGUGGCGAGUGGCGGACGGGUGAGGAAUACAUCGGAAUCUACCUUGUCGUGGGGGAUAACGUAGGGAAACUUACGCUAAUACCGCAUACGAACUACGGUUGAAAGCGGCGGACCGCAAGGCGUCGCGCGAUUGGAUGAGCCGAUGUCCGAUUAGCUAGUUGGCGGGGUAAAGGCCCACCAAGGCGACGAUCGGUAGCUGGUCUGAGAGGAUGAUCAGCCACACUGGAACUGAGACACGGUCCAGACUCCUACGGGAGGCAGCAGUGGGGAAUAUUGGACAAGUGGCGCAAGCCUGAUCCAGCCAUGCCGCGUGUGUGAAGAAGGCCUUCGGUUGUAAAGCUACGUUUUUCGUACGGAAAGUAAAUUCCUAGUUCGGUUAAUACCCCGGCGGGAGUGACGGUACCGGUAAGAAUAA
rnacentral:rRNA from 1 species